UUCGCAAUGCCCGAAAGGGUGACGAAGCGACGCCGCGUGGGUGAGGAAGGCCUUCGGGUUGUAAAGCCCUGUCAGGAGUUAAGAAAUGUAGACUCGCUAAUAUCGGGUCUACUUGACAAAGGCUCCAAAGGAAGCCACGGCUAACUCUGUGCCAGCAGCCGCGGUAAUACAGAGGUGGCAAGCGUUGUUCGGAAUUAUUGGGCGUAAAGAGCACGUAGGCGGCCUUGCAAGUCAGUUGUGAAAGCCUUCCGCUCAACGGAAGAAUGCCAGCUGAUACUACAGGGCUUGAGUACGGGAGGGGAGAGUGGAACUUCUGGUGGAGCGGUGAAAUGCGUAGAUAUCAGAAGGAACGCCGGCGGCGAAAGCGACUCUCUGGCCCGAAACUGACGCUGAGUGUGCGAAAGCUAGGGGAGCAAACGGGAUUAGAUACCCCGGUAGUCCUAACUGUAAACGAUGGGCACUAAGUAGAGGGGUUUU
rnacentral:rRNA from 1 species